rnacentral:rRNA from 1 species
UAAAGGUAUUCCGGUAGACGAUGGGGAUGCGUUCCAUUAGAUAGUAGGCGGGGUAACGGCCCACCUAGUCUUCGAUGGAUAGGGGUUCUGAGAGGAAGGUCCCCCACAUUGGAACUGAGACACGGUCCAAACUCCUACGGGAGGCAGCAGUGAGGAAUAUUGGUCAAUGGGCGCAGGCCUGAACCAGCCAAGUAGCGUGAAGGAUGACUGCCCUAUGGGUUGUAAACUUCUUUUAUAAAGGAAUAAAGUCGGGUAUGGAUACCCGUUUGCAUGUACUUUAUGAAUAAGGAUCGGCUAACUCCGUGCCAGCAGCCGCGGUAAUACGGAGGAUCCGAGCGUUAUCCGGAUUUAUUGGGUUUAAAGGGAGCGUAGAUGGAUGUUUAAGUCAGUUGUGAAAGUUUGCGGCUCAACCGUAAAAUUGCAGUUGAUACUGGAUAUCUUGAGUGCAGUUGAGGCAGGCGGAAUUCGUGGUGUAGCGGUGAAAUGCUUAGAUAUCACGAAGAACUCCGAUUGCGAAGGCAGCCUGCUAAGCUGCAACUGACAUUGAGGCUCGAAAGUGUGGGUAUCAAACAGGAUUAGAUACCCUGG